UGGGGAAUAUUGGACAAUGGGCGAAAGCCUGAUCCAGCCAUGCCGCGUGUGUGAAGAAGGUCUUCGGAUUGUAAAGCACUUUAAGUUGGGAGGAAGGGCAGUAAGCGAAUACCUUGCUGUUUUGACGUUACCGACAGAAUAAGCACCGGCUAACUCUGUGCCAGCAGCCGCGGUAAUACAGAGGGUGCGAGCGUUAAUCGGAUUUACUGGGCGUAAAGCGUGCGUAGGCGGCUAAUUGAGUCGGAUGUGAACUCCCCGAGCUUAACUUGGGAAUUGCAUUCGAUACUGGUUAGCUAGAGUGUGGGAGAGGAUGGUAGAAUUCCAGGUGUAGCGGUGAAAUGCGUAGAGAUCUGGAGGAAUACCGAUGGCGAAGGCAGCCAUCUGGCCUAACACUGACGCUGAGGUACGAAAGCAUGGGGAGCAAACAGG
rnacentral:rRNA from 1 species